rnacentral:rRNA from 1 species
GUCUAUGGCCAUACCACCCUGAACGCGCCCGAUCUGUCUGAUCUCGGAAGCUAAGCAGGGUCGGGCCUGGUUAGUACUUGGAUGGGAGACACUGUCCAGAUGCAGUUUCCACGUGAGCUCGUUAAGUCGUUUAUU